rnacentral:ncRNA from 2 species
UAGGCUAAAAUAAACACAUGUCGUAUAUGUCUAGGAAUAUGGCCCAGACGUUUCUACUUAGCUACCGUAAAUGGCUAAACUACGAGCAAUAGCAUAUCUCGA